GUGAGGAAUAUUGGGCAAUGGAGGAAACUCUGACCCAGCCAUGCCGCGUGAGUGAAGAAGGUUUUCGAAUUGUAAAGCUCUUUCGGAUGGGACGAUGAUGACGGUACCAUCUAAAGAAGCCCCGGCAAACUUCGUGCCAGCAGCCGCGGUAAUACGAAGGGGGCAAGCGUUGUUCGGAAUUACUGGGCGUAAAGGGUGUGUAGGCGGAUUUGUAAGAUAGUGGUGAAAUACCUGAGCUCAACUUAGGAAUUGCCAUUAUAACUAUAGAUCUGGAGUGACAGAGAGGAUAUUGGAAUACCCAGUGUAGAGGUGAAAUUCGUAGAUAUUGGGUAGAACACCAGUGGCGAAGGCGAGUAUCUGGCUGUCAACUGACGCUGAGGCACGAAAGCAUGGGGAUCAAACAGGAUUAGAAACCCUGGUAGUCC
rnacentral:rRNA from 1 species